CGAACGCUGGCGGCGUGCUUAACACAUGCAAGUCGAACGGAAAGGCCCUGCUUUUGUGGGGUGCUCGAGUGGCGAACGGGUGAGUAACACGUGAGUAACCUGCCCUUGACUUUGGGAUAACUUCAGGAAACUGGGGCUAAUACCGGAUAGGAGCUCCUGCUGCAUGGUGGGGGUUGGAAAGUUUCGGCGGUUGGGGAUGGACUCGCGGCUUAUCAGCUUGUUGGUGGGGUAGUGGCUUACCAAGGCUUUGACGGGUAGCCGGCCUGAGAGGGUGACCGGCCACAUUGGGACUGAGAUACGGCCCAGACUCCUACGGGAGGCAGAAGUGGGGAAUAUUGCACAAUGGGCGGAAGCCUGAUGCAGCAACGCCGCGUGCGGGAUGACGGCCUUCGGGUUGUAAACCGCUUUCGCCUGUGACGAAGCGUGAGUGACGGUAAUGGGUAAAGAAGCACCGGCUAACUACGUG
rnacentral:rRNA from 1 species